AUGGCGAAAUCUGUACCGGUUGAGCCCCAUUGCGCUACCCCACCUCCAGACCUCGACAAGUUUAAGGGGCAUGGCAUGUUGGCACCAGUCACAGCCGCCGGAUGGCAGAGCAAUGAUGUGCAUCCGCUGGUUAAUGAGAGAUCUGAGGUGGUAGUUAGCCUCCAUUAG
rnacentral:rRNA from 1 species